rnacentral:rRNA from 1 species
GGCGGACGGGUGAGUAACACGUGGGCAACCUGCCUGUAAGACUGGGAUAACUCCGGGAAACCGGGGCUAAUACCGGAUAAUUCUUUCCCUCACAUGAGGGAAAGCUGAAAGAUGGUUUCGGCUAUCACUUACAGAUGGGCCCGCGGCGCAUUAGCUAGUUGGUGAGGUAACGGCUCACCAAGGCAACGAUGCGUAGCCGACCUGAGAGGGUGAUCGGCCACACUGGGACUGAGACACGGCCCAGACUCCUACGGGAGGCAGCAGUAGGGAAUCUUCCGCAAUGGACGAAAGUCUGACGGAGCAACGCCGCGUGAGUGAUGAAGGUUUUCGGAUCGUAAAACUCUGUUGUUAGGGAAGAACAAGUACCGGAGUAACUGCCGGUACCUUGACGGUACCUAACCAGAAAGCCACGGCUAACUACGUGCCAGCAGCCGCGGUAAUACGUAGGUGGCAAGCGUUGUCCGGAAUUAUUGGGCGUAAAGCGCGCGCAGGCGGUUCCUUAAGUCUGAUGUGAAAGCCCCCGGCUCAACCGGGGAGGGUCAUUGGAAACUGGGGAACUUGAGUGCAGAAGAGAAGAGUGGAAUUCCACGUGUAGCGGUGAAAUGCGUAGAGAUGUGGAGGAACACCAGUGGCGAAGGCGACUCUUUGGUCUGUAACUGACGCUGAGGCGCGAAAGCGUGGGGAGCAAACAGGAUUAGAUACCCUGGUAGUCCACGCCGUAAACGAUGAGUGCUAAGUGUUAGAGGGUUUCCGCCCUUUAGUGCUGCAGCAAACGCAUUAAGCACUCCGCCUGGGGAGUACGGCC